GAGACAGCAGCCGCCGCGGGAAUACGUAGGUGGCAAGCGUUGUCCGGAAUUAUUGGGCGUAAAGGGCUCGCAGGCGGUUUCUUAAGUCUGAUGUGAAAGCCCCCGGCUCAACCGGGGAGGGUCAUUGGAAACUGGGAAACUUGAGUGCAGAAGAGGAGAGUGGAAUUCCACGUGUAGCGGUGAAAUGCGUAGAGAUGUGGAGGAACACCAGUGGCGAAGGCGACUCUCUGGUCUGUAACUGACGCUGAGGAGCGAAAGCGUGGGGAGCGAACAGGAUUAGAUACCCGGGUAGUCCCUGUCUCUUAUAC
rnacentral:rRNA from 1 species